rnacentral:misc_RNA from 1 species
GAUGAAGAACGUAGCGAAAUGCGAUAAGUAAUGUGAAUUGCAGAAUUCAGUGAAUCAUCGAAUCUUUGAACGCACAUUGCGCCCGCCAGCAUUCUGGCGGGCAUGCCUGUUCGAGCGUCAUUUCUACCCUCGAGCCCCCCCGGGGGCCUCGGUGUUGGGGGACGGCACACCAGCCGCCCCCGAAAUGCAGUGGCGACCCCGCCGCAGCCUCCCCUGCGUAGUAGCACACACCUCGCACCGGAGCGCGGAGGCGGUCACGCCGUAAAACGCCCAACUUUCUUAGAGUUGACCUCGGAUCAGGUAGGAAUACCCGCUGAACUUAAGCAUAUCAAUAAGCGGAGGA